UACGGGGGGGGGCAAGCGUUGUUCGGAAUUACUGGCGUAAAGGGCUCGUAGGCGGCCAACUAAGUCAGACGUGAAAUCCCCUCGGCUUAACCGGGGAACUGCGUCUGAUACUGGAUGGCUUGAGGUUGGGAGAGGGAUGCGGAAUUCCAGGUGUAGCGGUGAAAUGCGUAGAUAUCUGGAGGAACACCGGUGGCGAAGGCGGCAUCCUGGACCAAUUCUGACGCUGAGGAGCGAAAGCCAGGGGGAGCAAACGGG
rnacentral:rRNA from 1 species